UGGCCUACGGGAGGCAGCAGUGGGGAAUCUUCCGCAAUGGGCGAAAGCCUGACGGAGCAACGCCGCGUGAUCGAAUGAAGGCCUUCGGGUUGUAAAGAUCUGUUGACAGGGACGAAUAAGCAAUGCGAAUAGUUCUGUGUAUGACGGUACCUGUUUAGAAAGCUCCGGCUAACUACGUGCCAGCAGCCGCGGUAAUACGGAGGAUGCGAGCGUUAUCCGGAUUUAUUGGGUUUAAAGGGUGCGCAGGCGGUCUGUUAAGUCAGCGGUCAAAGCCCGGGGCUCAACCCCGGCCCGCCGUUGAAACU
rnacentral:rRNA from 1 species